GCCUUCGUGGCGUAGUGGUCAGCACGCUCGACACGAAUUCGAGAGGUUCGGGGUUCGAACUCCGGUGAGGGUA
rnacentral:tRNA from 1 species